rnacentral:rRNA from 1 species
UACGGAGGGGGCUAGCGUUGUUCGGAAUUACUGGGCGCAAAGCGCACGUAGGCGGCUUUGUAAGUUAGAGGUGAAAGCCCGGGGCUCAACUCCGGAAUCGCCUUUAAGACUGCAUCGCUAGAAUUGUGGAGAGGUAAGUGGAAUUCCGAGUGUAGAGGUGAAAUUCGUAGAUAUUCGGAAGAACACCAGUGGCGAAGGCGACUUACUGGACACAUAUUGACGCUGAGGUGCGAAAGCGUGGGGAGCAAACAGGG